UUCUUCAAAAAAAUUAUUUGCAGGAACUGUUUCUUUGUAUUUUUCAUUUUUCAUUUUUAUAUUUUCAAAGAAAAAGUUGUAAAUUAGGCUACUAAACAAGCCCAUAAUUGAGUGGAAUGGACAAGCUGAUGAGUCUAUCCAUGGAAUCUUUACUUGAAUCAAGUUGGGAUUCAAUCAUAGCGCCAGCUUGAGGUUGCAGCCAACUUCUAUAGUCCAAAAAAUUUGCCAUAUUUGCCGUUCCAACUUCCAAGGGGGCUGCUAUGAAGUAAAGCACGAUCCUCAAAAAGAGAAUAAGACAGCUUAUUCCUCGCCUUUUUACUUUGCUGUGCAGAAGUAAAGGUCCUCUCUUUCAAAAAAGAAAAAAAAGGAAAAAGAAAAUGAAAAAGAAAAAGAAAAUCUUUCCGUUCUCUUAAACUUCUUACCUUUUUACAAUGGGGUUUUCAUGGGGAUGAGUAAUGCUUCAUGAAAGGUAAUUAGUUUACAUAUUUUAUUCAGUGUUUUAUUGAAUGCUUAAAAUGGGAGUGUAAUUAUGAACAAAUAUGUGUUUGAAUUUGAUUGUGUUUUGCAAAUUAUGUUUCUGUGAUUGCGUUAGAAGAAAGGGUUUGGUUCAUGAGACAAUGGGUAGAUGGGUGUUUUGAUUAAGUACGCUGAAAAAGGAGUUGACAGGAGGGGUGAGGAGGAUGGAAUGACAAUGGAUGGAGGGGUUGGCCCAAAAAUUGAAAAUCAAGCUUUUGAAUUUGAUGUCUAGAUGUCUUGUUUUAGCAGGUUCAAUGCAUUUUAGAGCAUGGAGUGGAGGGUUUGUUAUCAGUCCAGUGGAAUAUUUGCCCUUAUGGGGUCUACAACCUUGUCUCCAUGGCUUGUGGUUGUUGGUGCUGAAAUGGGUAUGUGUAAUUUCAUUGAUCCAAUUCCGAAAGAUAUGUUUCAUGAAUUUUCAUGAUGCUUCCGGUGCUGCAAAACCAUUUUUCAAUGGACAGUUGGUUGCUGGUGUCUCAGGGGUUGGCCCUCUGGAUUCUUCUAUCCCCUUCAUGAAAGCUGGAAUUUAUGGGUCUUCAUUAUUGGGAUAAUAUAUUUUUCAUGGACUAACAGUUUUUCGGAGAAUCCUCAAGGGCCAUGUACUUUGACCCAUCAAAUAUUCAUAAUGAUGUGCAAUGAAAAGCAUCUACUGGGUGUCUGUAGGACAUUUUGGAAAACGGGUUGGUGUUUUCAGUCUGGAUUAGUCUACAGUGCUGCUGGAAGGAAUGGAAAAUCAGAAGAUAAAAAUUGUUCUGUGUUAUGUUGCAUCUUUCUCUGGUGAGGGGAAUGACAGAAAAACCCGCAAUGUGGAAUAAGGUGCAUUUUGUUAAUUCGGCAAAUAUGGUGGCUUCUGCCCUCUUAGAAUUGGUGAUGGGAACAAUGAUUCUUGUGAUUUCUACAGGGCAAGAAGGAAAUUGGAUUGUGCUUGGGUGUUCAAGCAAGGUGACUUUGACCUUGUGGUGAACAGUUAAAUUGCCUGGGAAUCCUUUUUAUUAACCUUUUCUCAGUUGUAAAAUAUCAAAUCAUUUAAUGCCUAUGAACCAUCAUUUUUGAGCACAUGUGGGGACAUUUUUUUCUUGAUGUCUUUUGCAAUUAUUAUCAGAUGCUCUUUGCAUUCAUGUAAUUUGUUAUUGGAAAUGAUAGAGAUGUUCCUAAAGAUACCGGUAAUGUUGCAAGAAAUCUAUAGCCAACCUUCCAGCAAAAUCUAUUUUCUUACUAUCAAGGUUGUCCAUGUUUAGUACUUUACUAGAUACAAAUGGAAAUGGCAACAACUUCUUCAUCCUAACAUCCUAUAAUUCUAGGAAUUAGUUGCUUCGAAAAUCUUUGAUGGUCAUAUAAGUAUCCAAAGUAUGAAUAAGAUGGAAGUUUGUUGUCUCAACCAUUCUUCUCAAUCCUGAUUCGAAUAAAGAGACGGGCUUUUAAGGAAGUUUUUAAAUUGUUGGUUCCCAGGUCUAGGGCUUCUUUCCUUAUGUUGCCUAAUGGUAAUAGUGGGGUAGAAUUGAUGUCCAACCCAAAACCUGUAAGUAUAAUUUGCUCGAUUUGCUAGGUCAAAUCGGAGAGGCAUCCAUUUUGGUUUCCAUACUGUAUUGGUCCAUAUAACGCUUACUGAUCUUUUUAUUAGUACCAAAGACAGCAUCAUUGACUAUCACCAGGCCAGGGGGAAAUCACCGCAGAAUUUGAAACUAAAAAAUUUCAUAUGAUUGGAUCAGGGUAUAAAAAAACUCACGUUAUUUAUAAAUCACUAUUUAUUUAACCUUAUAUGAUUGCCUCCUUGUAGAGCAAUCCGGUUGAAUCACUUCUCAGAAGUUGGAGAAAACUUGGGAGCUAUUAUGGUUCACAAGUAGCCAUAGUCGUAACUUUAAAUAUCUUAAACUUCUUGAUUUUAAAAGUGGAAGAUUCUAGCAUACUGAUCUAUCUAUUCAUAUUGCUUGGAGCAUCCAUGUAUUCUUCUUGUAUGAAUAUGUUAAUCCAGCAGAACCUUUGCAGCUUCAGACCUGACUGAUUUGGAUUUGGAUCUGUUCAAAUUGCAUGACACCUGAACUGAAUUCCAAGGAUUGCAACUGGAUUUCAAUCCACAAGAAAGCCCAUUUAGACAAUCAAACCAGCUGAGCCAAGGAGAUCACUCUUGGUUUAUACCCUGCCCAGUUGCAUUUCACAUCAUGCAGUAUGGCUUUCACUGCCCUACCCUCCUAUGUUUCAAUCUUGUGAGAUGCUUGAGUUGAUUUGUGAUGAAAUUUUUUUCACAUGUUAAUAUAUGAUAAGCCCUAUCUUGGAUGGUUUCAACACUUGGAAAUCUGAGACUGAGUCCACCAACUUUUGGAGUCUUAUCCAUCUAUCUAGUUUAAGUAAGAUCCAACUUUUUGUUGUUUCCAAACUGUGGCCAAAACAUCUGAUUUCUUGGGAAGAUGUUGAACUGCACAAGUACUUUUAUUUUACCAAACAUGUUAAAGCUCAAACCUUGCUAUAUUUAAGCUAUUGUUAUCAUAUGAUUUUUUUUCUUCCCCAAUGGCCCUUUAUUUGUGUGUCAAAAUGAAAUAGCCGAAGGAACUGAGCUUAUUUUCACAGUUCGGCCCAAUCCUGGUCUUUGACGUUGUACUCAUUUGGGUAUUGCAGGCUGUAAACUGCAUUUUGUUUUUGUUUGCUUGGAAUUGUUUUCUCUUUUCAAAAAUUUCCUUAUAUCAGGCACUCAUAUAUGUAGCCUCAACCUUGUAAGUAGCUGCAAUUUUUUAAAUAAUGAUAAAUAUAGCUAAAAUAGCAACCCUUAGAAUCAAUUAGACAUGAACUAGGUUCUAUUGUUUUUGGACAUGCAUUUUUAUGACAUAAACUUGAUGUGUAUGGUGCCAUAUUUUUCUUUCACAUGAUUCUUUCUAAGUUGUACAUAACUUGGAUAACCUGGAGAAAGAAUUGACCAUCUGAACCAUCUAGUCCUUUGUAUUUUUCUUUAUUCCUCAUUGUACAUAUAAGAAGGUGCAUAACAUUGUCAUUGUGUUUUGUUGGCAAGUUAUAGAUCUAAGCUGUUCAAUUUCAAGUUCUUUUUAAUGCUGAAGAGAUAAUCAUGCUGCUGCUUGGGAUGUCUCUUCCGUGGGGUAAGGAAAAAUGUUGUUCGCUCCACUUAUAGCAACACAGCUCAGGUGGUGUCACCUGAUAAGGCCUCAUAGCUGGGGGCUUUGCUCUCGGCUAUGGCUUAGAUGGUUAAACAAGUGAAAGGGCUCCAUUGUAGCACAAACUACUCUAUAAUACCUUUUCAUCUUCAUUUUGUAUUUUAAUGUUUCUUUCUUCUUAUUUCAUGAAUCCAUGUACUACAUUGUAAAAGGGUGAGAAGUUGUGAGGAGUAACCCAAUACAAAAAAAGGGGGUUGGGGGAGGAUUUGUGGGAGAUUCCUAGUUCAAGUCGAACAAAAUUUACCCAUUGAAAAAAGAAAAAAAAACCUGUACGAAAGGAAAUAAAAAAAAUAAAAAAAUAAGAAAAUGAUGAGAAGUCUAUACAACAUCAUGUGGCAUUCUUGUCUACCAUUAAUCUUAAAGCAAAAGUUGACCUCAUCACCCAUCAAUUUCAGAACUGUUCUUAAUGCACUUUGUUUUAUUUAGCUUUUUGAGUUAAGCAUUUUUUAUUGUAAGUCAUUUUCCUUAUUAGAGUCAUUUGUAUUCUUUUGAAAACAUUUUUCUUAAAAUCUUGUUUAGAUUGGCAUUAAAAAGAAAGUGAUUUAAACCAUUGAACUGGUACAAAAACUAAAGGAUUGUGAAAAUUUAAAAUUUUAAUGAAGCAAAGGAUGAAAAUGUUAAAAUAAUUCAUUGAAUACUUUGACAGUUUUAGUGGAAAGAUGACUUUAAAAAUUGGAACAGAACCUGAUAUCAGAUGUUACUGUCUGAAAACUAUUUCUCUUUAAACUAGAAUAGACCAAUGUGCAUGUGCAAUUUAUUGGGGCAUAGCUUGGGAUGGCAAAUCAGUAAGUUGAAAAUUGGUUCUUAAGGAAGCCUGUAUUCUUUGAUAAAGAGGGAUGGUAGACAGUCCUUGUGACUCCAUUGAUGUGCUAUAAAGCUUGAGAAGCUUGAAAUAGGUUGAAACAUAUGUGAGAAACAAUUAACAUGGUCAAGAUUGACAUAGAGGCUGAAUGUUUGAGCUGAAUUCCCAAAGAGAGCAUCUAACAGAGGAAACGGAGGGUGCCCUGCCAAAAGAAUUUGGAAUGAGUAUCCUGAAUGGAGUAUCUCCAAGAACUAAGGAGCUGGGGCAAGGUUAUGCUCUUUCUAAUGAUUUCCUAUAUUGAUAUUUUCUGUAAGUAGAGUACUUUUUUUUGUGAUGCAGAUAAUAUAUUGUUAAUUGUCUUUUACUGUGAAAAAGAGAGCCAUUAUUGGAAUUAGAAAUAGAUUCUCACAUUCUCCCUAAGUUAUCUAAACAAGCCUUGCUUUAUUAUCCCCUAUAAUCCACUUAUGCCAGUAAUUUUAUUCUUUAAGGAGCCUCUUUACUUUAUAUAGAAUUAUCCUUCAGUGAUUUGCCAUUAGAUCUGGAUAAAUCUAGUAAAGGGAUGGGAUUUCAUCUUGUCUUUCUCACAGAAAUUGGUAAGUAAGGAAAACUCUUUGUUCAGAAGGACUUUUGUGCAUUCUUAUCUUGUUUCUAUUGCUUCCCAAGUUAAGAGGGAAAACAGUAGAUUUUUCUUUACAGGUAUGGAGAUGGAAACUGCCAGGAAGAGGCUCCUAACAUAGAUCAGUAAUUGAUCUUAUAUUUUCUAUGUGCAUUUCAUUUUGUGAGAGGAUAGACUACAUGAUUUAAAAAACUUCCUCCGGGAGUACCUUAAAAGAUGAAAGCUACUCUGAAGAGUAUAUAUUUUACGGUCGUGAGGGGUGUGGAAAUGUUCUAAUCCUCAUCUCAAAGCAUAAACUGUACAAUGAUUAAUGAUUAGUUUUAUUACCUGUUUUCUGAGGGUAUUUGGUUUUUCUUUUUCAUACUUCUCACACCAGGUAUGACUUACUUUUUAAACAAGAAGGAUAAUUUACAACUGAAUUUUAAUAAGAGACCUGGAUCUUGAGGGAGCAAUUUUGAUAAGAUCAUAGUUCUUGUUAACUGCAUGGAGUAUCCUAUUGUUGCUCGGUGGCUUCCAAUCAUUGUGAAAUGCAUACAUGAAUCACUGUGACAAAUUAAUGAACUUUUCAUAAAUAUGUACAGUUAAGGGCAUGAGGCCACCAUCAUGGGAAUCUGGACCAUAUACAACUCUAUGCAGGACAAACUCAAGUUGGUAUGUCAGCAUACUAGCCGCCCAUAUUUCAUUGACCGUUGGAUUGUGAUAUGAUUUUCAUGGGGCAAUCUUUGAUCCUUGGCCCCAAUGCUUGAGUUCUCAGGGAAGUUGUAAGAGUUAGCAUUGCUUUUGAUCCUUAGAUUCUCAUUAUUAAUAAUGAUUUCUUUUGCCAUCAAGGGCAAACUAGUCAAUCUGGAACUUAUGAAAAGUUUGAAUUGUGGUGCUUCUGACAGAAAAUGGACCUUUUCCUUGUUGUCUGCUUCACAAACAGCGGGAGCUACUGCUAUCAAAAAAGGCAACACUAGAGUCAGCCAUGUGCUUAAGCAAGAUAUUAGAUAUUCCUGGUCUCUGGCAAAUGUGGAGAAAUCUGAGUACAGGACCCGGAUCCAUUUCACCUGUUCAAAAUGGAGAAGAGAAUCCUUCAUCAGAAUUCAGAAGGCUUUCAUGCAGGAUAUUUAUCCACAACUCACCACCAGAGACGUCCACAUAUGGAAAAUUUCCUGUGUAAACCUGCAUUUCAGUGCCUUGGAGUGAUUCCAUGUUGAUCACAAUUCCUUGGUGAGCUUGUGCUUGGCCUUGGAGUGAGUGGCCAUGGCCUCUAGCUGCAACUGUGAGCUCUGAACCAGGACCCAUUUGCCAAACAUGCUUUAUGGUCAUGGCAAUAUCAGAAACUGACUUUGGAUGCAAGACUGCCUGAGGAAGGAACUGGUACCGGUUCCCAAAGUCUCUGGCUGCAUGCUCAAUUCCAUGGAAACUGAAAUGCCCGUCAACAGAAAGUGUUUCCAAUGAAGAAGGGAUGAUGGGAAGACAGAGGCUGAUGUUAGCGGUUAAACAGCCCAAGAACAAGAUGACAAAGCUUGCUAUGAAACGAAUGCUACUUGGCCUGAGGAAACUAAUAGCUGGGUAUCUCAUUUUUUUCUUGAGAAAAGAUGGGAGAAGCCAAAGACAGAAGCCCCUCAACAUUGUAUUUGUUUCUAUGUGAGAAAAGAAAAAAGAGAGGUGUAGAAGAGCCAAGGAAAUGAAGGGCUGAGGAGGGAAUUUAAAGGUGAAGAUUUGGGUGGCAGAGUCAACCUAUCCCCAGUGGUGAGCAUCCGUAUGAAGACUGCCUACUUGGGUGGGAGAGUUUUAGGAUUUUCUUUUUAUUUCUCCUUUUUGGGCUCUUUUGUUUAAGAGAGAAGCCAUCACAUAUGCCAAGUUGAAGAGAAAAGUCACAGAAAGAAAGAUUUCACAAAUCUUGCACUUUUUUUAACAGUUGCAACCACAUUGUCACCUUUUCCAUCAAGGACAAACAUGUCUCAAAUUGUUUCUCAUUAACCCUGCUUAAGGAUACCUUUGCCAUUUCUACAAAAGGUUAUGGCCUUGCUGGGACGUGCCUUCGCCUGCCUUCAGUGACAGGCUUGGCCAUAGAAGUGUCUUUCUCACAUGAAUGAUGAAGUUUUUUCUUGAAUUCAUUGCUUGUCCAAAGUAAACAAGGCGUAUCUUCUUUCAGAUCGGAUGAGAGGGACUAGUGGGGAUGGCUAGAUUUAUUUGAGAAAGGGAGAGAUGGGCUAGCAGGAUUUGUAUGGACCCAUGGGACAAGUGAAUUUCAAAUGGGUAUGUGCUUUGUUGGGGAAAGGGCUAUGAUUGGUAUAGUUGGACCCCGUUUCGCCAGUGUGAUCGGUUAAUCACAGGGGUCGAAUUUGGGAUGACAGCUUAGAGGAAACACCGAAAGACUACCCUUUGCCUCUCUGCUGCAAUGUCUUUGAUGCCUCAGCUCCCAGCCAUGGGACAAGCCUAAAGAUUCUCCUGCUCAUGUUUUGUGUGCAAAGAAAUCACUUCAUUUCAAUUAUUGUUUCUUUGCCGUGUCUUACAUGUUCUUAGUGACCAUAAUGUGACCUUAAUUUGCAGGCCUCACCAUGUGUAUAUUAUGUGCAAAUAUACCCGUCUUGCACUCCUUUUUUUCAUUGUGUACUUGAAAGUAUAUUGUUAUAUACCCCAUAGCUUCCUUUGCUCUUGAAA